GCCAAAUUUCUUUCGAGAUUUUUCACUUCUCGAUAUAUCGAAAGUCGUUCAAGUACUCUCAAUAGUAAGCAAUCUCAGAGGUGUUGUGAACAAUGGCGACGUUUCGACUAAAGUGACAUCCUACUGGGCAAAUGUGUUUUUUACACUUUAACGAUAACAUUCUUUUCUAGAUAUUAAUUACGCCAUUUAAGCAUUAGCUUUGAAGAUCCUGCGGUUCAUGAUGGCAUUAAACGCUAACGCACUGUCCAGUGACAUAAGUCGUAGAAAUCCGCAGGACGAGUAUGAGCUCAUUCAACGAAUAGGCAGUGGAACUUAUGGAGAUGUUUAUAAGGCUAAAAGGUUAUCCAUGAACGACCUUGCCGCCAUCAAGGUUAUCAAAUUGGAACCAGGUGAUGAUUUUGCUAUCAUCCAGCAAGAAAUCUUGAUGAUGAAAGAUUGUAGGCAUCCCAAUAUCAUAGCAUAUUAUGGCAGCUACUUGAGAAGGGACAAAUUGUGGAUAUGUAUGGAAUACUGCGGGGGUGGAUCAUUGCAAGAUAUUUAUCACAUAACCGGACCAUUAUCUGAGAUACAGAUAGCGUAUAUGUGCAGAGAGACUCUUAUGGGAUUAGCUUAUUUGCAUACUAUGGGAAAAAUGCAUCGUGAUAUUAAGGGUGCCAAUAUAUUGUUGACCGAGGCAGGUGAUGUGAAAUUAGCUGAUUUUGGUGUGUCAGCUCAAAUUACAGCAACAAUAAAUAAAAGGAAAAGUUUUAUUGGUACACCUUAUUGGAUGGCACCUGAGGUUGCAGCAGUGGAAAGAAAGGGUGGUUAUAAUCAGUUAUGUGAUAUUUGGGCGUGCGGUAUAACUGCAAUAGAAUUAGCAGAGUUGCAACCUCCCAUGUUUGAUUUACAUCCGAUGAGAGCUUUAUUCCUGAUGUCCAAAUCUGGUUUUAAACCUCCGACAUUAAAAGAUCGUGACAAAUGGAGUCCAACAUUUCAUAAUUUUGUUAAAGUUGCUUUAACUAAGAACCCUAAAAAGAGACCAACUGCAGAAAAAUUAUUGCAGCAUGCAUUUUUUCAAGGCGAAAUGAAUAAACGAUUGGCUUUGGAAUUACUGCAAAAGGUAUCAAAUCCUAGUCAUAUGUUCACUGAUUUAGAAGCUGACGAAGAUGGAGCAGUACCUAAUGUACCACAAAGAAUUGCUUCGAGGCAUACAGCAAGACCAAGGCCAAGAAGCCCCAUAUCGCAAUUAGAUAGUGAUGAUCUAAUUAAUCUGGAUGGCAACACAUUACAAAGAGAUUCUAUAACUCCUUCAGUUGAUACUAAUCCGGCGUGGGAUAUUAUGGAUAUUAUGAAUAACGUGAAGGCUGUACAUAACUGCGAUGUUCAUCCAGAUUGCGGAAUUGGUACUGCAUUUGAAGAUGUACAAGAAAAUUUUUCACAUACAUCCACUAAUCGUCACGAUACACUUGGCGCAAAUGUUACCGAAGGUAACAGACGAUCACGUCGAAGCAAAACUGGCACAGAGUUAUUUCAUAUGAGUUUAAGGAGUCUAUUGCAGUACAUUGAUGAGGAGUUGUUGCUAAGGGGAAAUGCAAUGUCGAUGGUUGGUGGGCAUUGCGAUCAGCUAUACUCCCUGCAGGCCACGCUUCCUCUUGGAGAAUCUUCGAACGAGUGUGAGGUACAUUGCGGAUACUACAAUAAUGUAUCUGGGUCUCAAGCAAGUCCUAGACGUCACAGUUCUGUAGAUGAAUUAUUUGGCCUGGUGAACAAUUCCCAUGCUUUAACGGCUGUAAACGGACAACGUCAAAGAUCUCUUUCAGAUAGUGGCCCUAGAGAAGAAUCCCCACAAUCUAAUGGAGAUAAUGAAAUAUCUAGAGACGGAGAAAGAGAAAAUAUUAGUCCAGAUCUCUUAUCGGAUACACCACCUGUACCACCGAGAAGAAGGGACAGGAAAAGGCAUACACCUCCAAGACCUAUAAGUAAUGGGUUACCCCCAACUCCUAAGGUUCAUAUGGGAGCAUGUUUUUCAAAGGUAUUUAAUGGUUGUCCUUUGAGAAUACAUUGUACAGCUAGUUGGAUACAUCCCGACACAAGAGACCAACACUUACUUAUUGCCGCAGAGGAAGGGAUUUAUAAUUUAAACUUAAACGAACUCCAUGAAACUGCAAUAGAUCAACUAUAUCCUAGACGUACAAUUUGGAUGUAUGUUAUCAAGGAUGUGCUUAUGUCCUUGUCUGGGAAAACACCUCAAUUAUACAGACAUGAUUUAUUAGCAAUGCAAAGCAAACAGACUCAUAGGUUUUCAUUGCAUAUGAACAAAAUACCAGAGAGAUUAGUACCUAGAAAAUUUGCACUCACUACUAAAGUACCAGAUACUAAAGGUUGUACUAAAUGUUGCGUUGGAAGAAAUCCAUACAAUGGAUACAAGUACCUAUGCGGGGCAAUGCCAGCAGGAAUAUUUUUGAUGCAGUGGUACGAUCCUUUAAAUAAAUUUAUGCUUUUAAAGCACUUUGAUUGUGCUCUUCCGUCACCUUUAAACGUAUUUGAAAUGAUUAUUACACCCGAAAUGGAAUAUCCGAUGGUGUGUGUAUCGGUCAAGCAACCAUAUCAACAAAAUAAAUUAAAAUUGGAUUUAAUUAAUAUGAACUCCGGAGCAAGCUGGUUUCAUAGUGACGAGUUAGAAGACAUGGAUGGUUCAGCAACUGUGAUACCAAGGAGAGAAAAUCUUCAUGUCAUUAACGUGACGCAACUCGAGAAGGAUGCAAUACUUGUAUGUUAUGAAAAUGUAGUUAAGGUUGUUACGUUACAAGGAAAACUCAGGGUAAGCAAGAAGCAAAUGUCGGAACUGCAUUUUAAUUUUCAGAUAGAAUCAAUUAUUUGUCUACCGGAUAGUGUAUUGGCAUUCCAUAAACAUGGUAUGCAAGGUAGAAGUUUUAAGAAUAGUGAAAUUACGCAGGAAAUAAGUGAUCCCAGUAGAACCUAUAGGUUACUUGGCUCCGAUAAAGUUGUAAUGUUGGAAAGUCAUUUGGUUCAUACGGGAACAUUGACAGAGACUGAAGGAGCAGAUUUAUAUAUACUUGCAGGUCAUGAGGCCAGUUAUUGAACGACAAUUCUCUUACAUCUUAAUAUGUAAAUAAAAAAAAGAAACAAACAAACAAGCCUCUUGUGUCGCAAGUGAAUGUUAAUGAUUCACCAUCGAUUACAUACACGGAUGCAAUGAUUUAAUCGAUAAAAUGAUUAUUGGAUAAAAAAAAUUGGAAAAGAAAAUCAACUGAAUGAAUUCUCUUUUUGUGAUUGGCUUGAAGACUGGAAGAAAAAAUGAAGUUUCUCAAUUGCUGUAUUAUUGUAUAAGAGAGGAGAGACAGACUAUGGUCUUGCAAGAAGGAAGAGUGCUGGAUUUAAUAGAACUUCGUCAAAAGUAAAGUAAUUUCAACAAUUAUCGUUAAGCUAAUUGCAUGAAGAUUUCUUUUUCUUUUCUUUGUUUUUAUUUUAUUUUCUUUUUUUGGUUUUCAACCAUUUUAACUCUGGGUCUCCACAAUUAGAACGAAUAAGUGAUCAGCAUUUUAAAUGCAACUAGCACAAAGUAAAUAUGAAAAUUAAAUACGCGUAAUUAUUAUAAUUAAGGUAUCAUUGUCACGAAUCAUUGGUAAUAUAUUUUUUUUUUUCAUUUUUUUUUUUUAUUCAAUAUACUUUAACCCUCUGUAAUGUCAUGUUAUUUUGACGCACAUUAAUGUAUCUACUUAGUUACAUUGUAACAA